rnacentral:rRNA from 1 species
UGGGGAAUUUUGGACAAUGGGCGAAAGCCUGAUCCAGCAAUGCCGCGUGUGUGAAGAAGGCCUUCGGGUUGUAAAGCACUUUUGUCCGGAAAGAAAUCCUUGGCUCUAAUACAGUCGGGGGAUGACGGUACCGGAAGAAUAAGCACCGGCUAACUACGUGCCAGCAGCCGCGGUAAUACGUAGGGUGCAAGCGUUAAUCGGAAUUACUGGGCGUAAAGCGUGCGCAGGCGGUUUGCUAAGACCGAUGUGAAAUCCCCGGGCUCAACCUGGGAACUGCAUUGGUGACUGGCAGGCUAGAGUAUGGCAGAGGGGGGUAGAAUUCCACGUGUAGCAGUGAAAUGCGUAGAGAUGUGGAGGAAUACCGAUGGCGAAGGCAGCCCCCCUGGGCCAAUACUGACGCUCAUGCACGAAAGCGUGGGGGAGCAAACAGGAUUAGAUACCCUGGUAGUCCACGCCCUAAAACGAUGUCAACUAGUUGUUGGGGAUUCAUUUCCUUAGUAACGUAGCUAACGCGUGAAGUUGACCGCCUGGGGAGUACGGUCGCAAGAUUAAAACUCAAAGGAAUUGACGGGGUCAUAGCUGUUUCC